GUGGUGCUGGUGCCUAGAGGAGCCGAGCCGGGUCAGAGGGCGGAGCCGAGAUGUGAGCGUGGGGCGCAAGCGCGCGGCAAGUGGCGACGGAGACCGUCAUGGCGCCGUCGCAGCAGUCUCGGGUCCUGCGAUGCUGCAGCUGCCGCCUCUUCCAGGCGCACCAGGUGAAAAAAAGUCUCAAAUGGACAUGCAAGGCUUGUGGAGAGAAGCAGUCCCUUUUGAAGGUAUAUGGUGAGGGUUCUGGUGCUGACUGUAGACGCCAUGUCCAAAAAUUAAAUCUGCUACAGGGACAGGUUUCAGAGCUGUCACUCAGGUCUGUGGAAGCAGCUGUAAUUGCUGGCAAAGAAGAAAAUGCAGGUGGGCAGCAGGCUGAGGAUGGGACCCCACAGGUAGGCUUGCAGGAAAAAUCCCAGCCCUUGGAGAACCGCUGGCUGAAAUAUCUAGACAAGGGCAGCCCAGAGCAGGAGCCAGAAGGAGUAUGUUUCCACAUACAGCCCUCAUCCAACCCAGAGCAUCUAGGCCCUCCCUUCAAUCAAGCCCUGCCCAGAAAAAGGAAAUGGAGCCAGAGCACAGACCACCCUCCUCAGGACCUUGUUGUCCAGGAUUCAGAUGAUGCUGAAGUCACCUUGGAAUCCCAGGAGGAAUCCCUGACUUGAUCUGAAAGUCUCCAAUGGAUGGGUCACCUAAUGACACGAAGAUGUCUUUCUGGGAAACCUGGUCCUGUGAUUUAGCAGAAGAUUGGGUACUGACUUUCCUGACAGCUACCACAAAAGACGGAAGUACACAUCAGAGAUCCCGGGGCUGGGAGGGCCUCCCUACCUAUACCUCAAGGGCAUCUCAGGAGGACAGCCUGGUAAGGCAGGAAGGGACAUGCCGGUGAAAUUGGUAGCCUUGGGCACUUAGGCACCUAGGUUUUCCCAUUUGUCAAAUGGAAAUGAUACUCUAUAAUACUCUUAGGAUUAAAUGACAUUUGAGCCCCCACUGUGGGCAUAGCAGGAAUUCAGGACAAGGGGAAGACUUGGCUAAGGGUCCUGCAGCUCUGCUGGCCCUUCCAUAGAGCACAUGGCUGCCUGGCUACUCUCCUACCAUUCAAAAGCCAGUUCAGACACCAGGCUCACCUGAUUCUGCCGUGGGGUGGGGGCGGGUAUCUCCCGCUCGAGGAGGACGUGGGCUCCAGUUUCCUGGUGGACCCAUCUCCCAGCCUGGCCACCCGAAAUGCCCAUGUUUCAACUUCCGGAGCCAGCGGCUAUGAGAGAAGCCCUGGGGAGGAGUAAGCAAAGGGAUAUUGCAGUGAGGGUCCAGGGUCACAGGCUCCUAUCACCCUGAACUUACCCCAGGGCUACAGAGGGCCUGCUUACCUCAGAAUGGUGCCCAAAGGGGCUGGGGAACACAAGUUUGCUAUGCUCCCUGUGCAUGCCCUUCCCCUCACAGACACCACAUAGGUCAUAGUCUGGGCACACACUGCACUUAUAGCGAGUUCCCACGACAGGCCCAUUACAACCAUCACAGAUCACAUUGGGGUGCACCAUGCUGCGGGGUGCCUCCUGAGCACAUGGGGCACGGUGGUCUCGCCGGCACUCCUUCUUCUCUGCAGGGAGAGGAGAGAGAGAGAGCAGUUAAGUGAGGCCUCCCUGAAGGCCUCCCCUUCCAUUGUUACUGUAGGGCUGUCAAAGUCAGCAAGAUUCCAAUCCUACUGAGUUUACUCGGAAUUCAGGUCUUCAGGUGACAGCAGUAGAGCAACCUAAGAACCCACUAGGAGCUCCCAAGGCCCUGAGCCAAUUAACCAGGCACAUAUAGCCCAGGCAGCAGAAGAGCAGUUGAAAGCCUGGCCUUUAUCUUUGGCCUUGGUCCUGACCAAAACCCCAUGGCAUCAGACCCCAUUCCCUAGGGAGAACAUGGACUCAAAGAGGAUCAGGUCAGAUAUAGGGAUAUAUUUACAUGUCCCUGUCUUAGACAAUCCUCAGUUUCCUACCCCUUCUUUGGAAGAAAGUCAAGCUCUAUUUUUACUCAGCAGGAAGCACCUGGUAUUGGGCAGUACCCCAGAUCAGCCUUUACCUUUAAUGUAGAUGCGGAAGAUGUCUUCCUUCACAUAGGACAUGGCCAUUGUCAGCUCCUCGUCACUGGAAAAGGCAACCAAGUCUCCAUCCUCAUCUAGAUUGUUUAAAAGACAGCACCUCAGGGCUGGGGAUGUGGCUUAAUGGUAAACACUUGCCUAGCAUGCCCUGGGUUCGAUCCCCAAUACCACCAAAAAGCAAAAACAAAACCAGCACUUGAACUCCCAGGCUGGACAUAAGUUACUGAAAUGUGCUCAUGCCAGUGCUGAAGGGUCACUUGUGAGACUCUAAACUUUGAGCCAGGGGAAGCAAAGGCAAGAGACGAGAUUGCCCAUUCUCUCUGCCACUACCUAGGCAGUUAAGAGCUCUAGCCUAGUACCUGGACACAGCUACAUGCAGAAGGCAGAGCACAUGUACACAGAAGCAGCAGCAACAGCUAUCUGCCUGCCAUUCAGCCUCUAGGCCAGCUGAUCCUUCAGAAAGAUGCCCCUUCAGUCCACACCUAACCAGGCCCAGACCCAUCUUCAGUUGUGGGAGAUCCCUCAUACCCUGCUCUUGAAAGUCCUUUCUCCAAGGCCUUGGGCUUUAGGAGUAAAAGAGAUUACCCCAUCUGCCUGCAUCCCCCCUGAACAAUGCUUUAAAAAAAAAAAAAAAGUAUUGUUAUAUGGUAAGUACUUUUAUGUUAGCUCAAAUGAUUUUAAA